rnacentral:rRNA from 1 species
UUUAUGGAGAGUUUGAUCCUGGCUCAGGAUGAACGCUGGCGGCGUGCCUAAUACAUGCAAGUCGAGCGAACGGACGAGAAGCUUGCUUCUCUGAUGUUAGCGGCGGACGGGUGAGUAACACGUGGAUAACCUACCUAUAAGACUGGGAUAACUUCGGGAAACCGGAGCUAAUACCGGAUAAUAUUUUGAACCGCAUGGUUCAAAAGUGAAAGACGGUCUUGCUGUCACUUAUAGAUGGAUCCGCGCUGCAUUAGCUAGUUGGUAAGGUAACGGCUUACCAAGGCAACGAUGCAUAGCCGACCUGAGAGGGUGAUCGGCCACACUGGAACUGAGACACGGUCCAGACUCCUACGGGAGGCAGCAGUAGGGAAUCUUCCGCAAUGGGCGAAAGCCUGACGGAGCA